AUCAUUACCGAGUUAGGGUCUUAUAGGCCCGACCUCCAACCCUUUGUUUACUACACCAUGUUGCUUUGGCGGGCCCGCCUUUUGGGGCCGCCGGGGGUUUACAAGCCCCUGGUCAGUGUUCGCCAGUAGCCUUAUUAAAUUCUUUUAUAAUUAUGUCGUCUGAGUAUAAAUAUAAAUCGUUAAAACUUUCAACAACGGAUCUCUUGGUUCUGGCAUCGAUGAAGAACGCAGCGAAAUGCGAUAAGUAAUGCGAAUUGCAGAAUUCAGUGAGUCAUCGAAUCUUUGAACGCAUAUUGCGCCCUUUGGUAUUCCGAAGGGCAUGCCUGUUCGAGCGUCAUUAUCAACCAUCAAGCCUGGCUUGUCGUUGGACCUCUUUACCGCUGAAAUAUGUGGUAGGUCCGAAAGAUAAUGACGGCGUCGUGUUUGACCCUAGAUGCAACGAGCUUUUUAUAGCACGCAUUGAAGUGGUCGGCCGACCCGGUCUUUAACCAUUAAUUUCUAAGGUUGACCUCGGAUCAGGUAGGAAUACCCGCUGAACUUAAGCAUAUCAAUAAGCGGAGGAAAAGAAACCAACAGGGAUUACCCUAGUAACGGCGAGUGAAGCGGUAACAGCUCAAAUUUGAAAUCUGACCUUCACGGGUCCGAGUUGUAAUUUGUAGAGGAUGUUUCGGAUAAGGCUUUGGUUUAAGUUUCUUGGAACAGAACGUCAUAGAGGGUGAGAGUCCCGUCUAGAACCGAUAGCCGCGUUCAUGUGAAACUCCUUCGACGAGUCGAGUUGUUUGGGAAUGCAGCUCAAAAUGGGUGGUAAAUUUCAUCUAAAGCUAAAUAUUGGCCAGAGACCGAUAGCGCACAAGUAGAGUGAUCGAAAGAUGAAAAGCACUUUGAAAAGAGAGUUAAACAGUAUGUGAAAUUGUUGAAAGGGAAGCGCUUGCAACCAGACUUGUGUUUAACGGUUCCCCUGUGUCUUUUGACCAGGUUAUUCCGUUAUAUCCAGGCCAGCAUCGGUUCGGGUGGUUGGUUAAAGGCCUUGGGAAUGUAUCUACCUUCGGGUCGACUUAUAGCUCGGGGUGUAAUGCGGCCUACCUGGAC
rnacentral:rRNA from 1 species